rnacentral:lncRNA from 1 species
AGUUCCGCUCGCUGUCCAUGGUUUCCGAGUGCCUGUUCUCCCUCAUCAACGGGGACGACAUGUUCGUGACGUUUGCAGCCAUGCAGGCCCAGCAGGGUCGCAGUAGCCUGGUGUGGCUCUUCUCGCAGCUCUACCUCUACUCCUUCAUCAGCCUCUUCAUCUACAUGGUGCUGAGUCUCUUCAUCGCACUCAUCACCGGCGCCUACGACACUAUCAAGGAACUCUCCGGAGGACCAUUCACUGCUGGUGAACUGAUCCAAGAUGAUUGCCACUAGACUUUAUCCCCAUGUACUGCUGGGACCCCAGCUUAUUUAUUUUUAGAAUUCGCUUUAAAAGAUCUGCUUCUGACAGGCCUUGUGAGGGCUUGGGCAGAUCGAAUCGGACACUGGGGAAGGGAGGGCAUGGAGGGUGGCUGUUAAAUAAAAGGGAACAU